AUAAAAAAUAUAUAAAAUAAUAAAAAAAUGAAAAAAAGGACGUCAAACUUCACAUCAAGCCUAACAAUGGUGCGCAUUUAGCCAGUGUCGCCUUAAAAAUAUAAAGAAAACUUUACAAUAUAGCAGAAAAUAUUCCGAGCACAUAGCUUCAUGCAAAGGAGCGAAGUGCGAGAGAGAAGCAGCAGAAGUGCGUGUUCAUUAGACAACCAUUGUGUGGAUGAUGCGUAUACCCUGUGAAUUGGGUAUCUCUCUUUGUGUGUGUGUGUGUGCGACUUCCGGAGUCGCUGACAUUGGACUGCCUGAUUAUAUUCAUACGCCCUGUGUGCCGAGUGCAACAUUUGCCAGCAUCAAAUGCGGCUCCUUGUUGACUUUCAUUAGCUUCAAUUACGCCGAGUCGAGCACUCGUAUGUCCGGCGCAUAGCUCAGACGACAAAUCAAAUGCAGUUCCAGUUGCAGUUCCACUUGCCACUUGCACCAAUUGUUGUCACACGUAAACUUUUCAAAUCGUUUGCCAGCCCAUAACUGCCCACUCCCUCACCCCCCAGACCCCUCCGUGCUGCCCACAUGUCAUUUGAAGCCCAGUCGUUGUCGUUGUCGUUGUCGUUGCUGUCGCUGCAGCCGCCUGUGUUUGGUUUACGUGCUUAAAUUGGCAAUUAGCAGAUUAAUUGUCACUGGCAAUAUAUGCGUCAAUAUAUAUUGUGCAACCGAUGCACCACAGUGGGUGAAAUUAUUAGCUGGCAAUACAGUACAAAGCUCUUGAAUAUAAAACUGAUUUUUACAAUAACUUUGAAAGUUUGUUAUUGAAA